GAUGAACGCUGGCGGCGUGCUUAACACAUGCAAGUCGAACGGAAAGGCCCAAGCUUGCUUGGGUCCUCGAGUGGCGAACGGGUGAGUAACACGUGGGUGAUCUGCCCUGCACUUCGGGAUAAGCCUGGGAAACUGGGUCUAAUACCGGAUAGGACGAUGGUUUGGAUGCCAUUGUGGAAAGUUUUUUCGGUGUGGGAUGAGCUCGCGGCCUAUCAGCUUGUUGGGGGGGUAAUGGCCUACCAAGGCGUCGACGGGUAGCCGGCCUGAGAGGGUGUACGGCCACAUUGGGACUGAGAUACGGCCCAGACUCCUGCGGGAGGCAGCAGUGGGGAAUAUUGCACAAUGGGCGCAGGCCUGAUGCAGCGGCGCCGCGUGGGGGAUGACGGCCUUCGGGUUGUAAACUCCUUUCGCUAGGGACGAAGCGUUUUUGUGACGGUACCUGGAGAAGAAGCACCGGCUAACUACGUG
rnacentral:rRNA from 1 species